UCCCAAGUUCUAGGAUCCCAUUCUUUGCCA
rnacentral:piRNA from 1 species